rnacentral:sRNA from 1 species
GCCAUUAUAAUUUUUAACGUUGCACUGCAAACAUCAACUUCAGUUCGUUUUUCUCAAAGUAACACACAAAUUGUGAUUAAUAUAAACCAAGUGCUGAUAAAGUGUUAAAAGUUCAUUAAAAAGCCAAGAGCAUUUGUCCUGUCACUGUCUAUGGUGUGGAACAACAGUUAGCAUAUACGCCGAGCACAGAAGGUUGGAUAAAAUUUCGUCUAUUGCCAAACAAAACAACAUUUAUGGAGUUGUUUUGUGAAUCCAGCCAGACAAAAAAAGCCAGCGGCUAAAGAAGCAACAACUUCUGUUCUAGAUUACAGCAUUUUGAACCCGAAAAUAUUUAAGGUAAGCUUUUUGAGCAAAGCAAGCGUCAAUAGAACUGAAACGAUUUUUAAAUAUUGCAAUUGUGCGGAACUGCCAUCCUUGGUAAAAACCGGACGGCAACCUUAAAAAAUCCAUAAAUUAAAAAUACUAAAAUUUGUAAUAAAUUUAGCGCGUGAUAACAUUUAAUAUUGCAAUAAUCAACAGUUAUAUCUCAAAAUAUGAACUAUAAACGUGUAAUAUUUAAAUAGACUGCGAGCACAAUAGUGAAAUAAAACGGAUAAAAAGUGUACAAAUUUGACAAACAAAAAAUACCAAUAACUGGGCAAAGGUGCUGUUGGUGAUUGGAUAAAAUGCCAAAACUUGUGCGGCAACGUACGAAUUCUAUUGCCUGCAGUUAAAAAGAGUGGAAAAAGACGCCAUUUGAGUGGACUUUAAAUAUAAGUUGUUGUUGCUUUUUUUUUCAAAACUGCCAAAAACAGGGCCUGUGCUAAAGCCGUAUAUAUAUUGCUAAUUGUAACAAAACAUGUUGCCCGCCAACACAGGCAUUGCAGCAACAAAGCGGGAAGUGCCACUGACGAUGUUGCCAAUAAAACCGGGAAACGUUGCUGUCUCUGGCACAGCAGCACAAAUCAAAGUCGCUGAGGAGAGGCGUUAUUUACCCAUUGCUCCCAUGCCCACCAAGCCGUGUAAUGCUCUAAACCUAAACACUUGCAACAAUAAUAAUAAC